CGGCGUAAAGCGUGGUUAAGAAAAUUAAAUUAAUAGAGUUGAAUGGCCUCAAUUCAGUUAAAUGCACUCGAAGCCAUGAAGCACAAUUACGAAAGUAGCUCUACCAAAAUCCCUGACUCCACGAAAGCCAUAGAACAAACUGGGAUUAGAUACCCCACUAUGUAUGGUUGUAAACAUUGAUGGCAAUUUACCAAGCCAUCCGCCUGGGAAUUACGAGCAAAAGUUUGAAACCCAAAGGACUUGGCGGUGCUUUAAACCCCCCUAGAGGAGCCUGUUCUAGAACUGAUAAUCCCCGUUUAACCUCACCAUCCCUUGUUUAGUCCGCCUAUAUACCGCCGUCGUCAGCUUACCCUGUGAAGGUUUAAUAGUAAGCACAAAUGGCAUAGCCAAGAACGUCAGGUCGAGGUGUAGCGAAUGAGAUGGGAAGAAAUGGGCUACAUUCUCUGUCGCAGAGUAAACGAAUGAUAGCUUUGAAAAAAGCACCUGAAGGAGGAUUUAGUAGUAAGUUAGGGAGCAGAGAGCCCUACUGAAAAUGGCACUGAAGCACGCACACACCGCCCGUCACUCUCUCCGAGUACUUAUUCAAUAGUUACCUAAAA
rnacentral:rRNA from 1 species